AAUAGAUACCCAGGUAGUCCACGCCGUAAACGAUGGAUACUAGCUGUUCGUCCGCCUCGGCGGAUGAGUGGCUAAGCGAAAGUGAUAAGUAUCCCACCUGGGGAGUACGAACGCAAGUUUGAAACUCAAAGGAAUUGACGGGGGCCCGCACAAGCGGUGGAGCAUGUGGUUUAAUUCGAUGAUACGCGAGGAACCUUACCAAGGCUUAAAUGUAGAUUGACAGGACAGGAAACAGUUUUUUCUUCGGACAAUUUACAAGGUGCUGCAUGGUUGUCGUCAGCUCGUGCCGUGAGGUGUCAGGUUAAGUCCUAUAACGAGCGCAACCCCUGUUGUUAGUUGCCAGCGAGUCAAGUCGGGAACUCUAACAAGACUGCCAGUGUAAACUGUGAGGAAGGUGGGGAUGACGUCAAAUCAUCACGGCCCUUACGCCUUGGGCUACACACGUGCUACAAUGGCCGGUACAGAGAGCAGCCACUGCGCGAGCAGGAGCGAAUCUAUAAAACCGGUCACAGUUCGGAUCGGAGU
rnacentral:rRNA from 1 species